GGUGACCUGCGGAGGGAUCAUUA
rnacentral:rRNA from 3 species